AUUGAACGCUGGCGGCAGGCCUAACACAUGCAAGUCGAGCGAGCGGCGGACGGGUGAGUCAUGCCUGGGAAUUGCCCAGUCGAGGGGGAUAACAGUUGGAAACGACUGCUAAUACCGCAUACGAUUGGAUUGUCUCGGUGGGAUUAGGUAUUGGGUGAGGUAAUGGCUCACCAAGGCGACGAUCCCUCGCGGGUCUGGGAGGAUGGCCAGCAACACGGGAACUGAGACACGGUCCAAAUCCCUACGGAAGGCAGCAGUGGGGAAUAUUGCACAAUGGGGGAAACCCGGAGGCAGCCAUGCCGCGGGUGUGAAGAGGGCCUUCGGGUUGUAAAGCACUUUCAGCGAGGAGGCGUUACUCGCAGAAGAAGCACCGGCUAACUCCGUACCAGCAGCCGCGGUAAUUC
rnacentral:rRNA from 1 species